rnacentral:rRNA from 1 species
GAUGAACGCUAGCGGGAGGCUUAACACAUGCAAGUCGAGUGGUAGGGCAGCAAUGCCUGAGAGCGGCGCACGGGUGCGUAACGCGUAUGCAACCUGCCUUAUACAGGGGAAUAGCCCAUGGAAACGUGGAUUAAUGUCCCAUAGGAUUACGGAUUCGCAUGGAUUUGUGAUUAAAACUGAGGUGGUAUAAGAUGGGCAUGCGUCUGAUUAGGUAGUUGGUAGGGUAAUGGCCUACCAAGCCGACGAUCAGUAGGGGUUCUGAGAGGAUUACCCCCCACACUGGUACUGAGACACGGACCAGACUCCUACGGGGGGCAGCAGUGAGGAAUAUUGGUCAAUGGCCGGAAGGCUGAACCAGCCAUCCCGCGUGCAGGAUGACGGCCCUAUGGGUUGUAAACUGCUUUUGUACCUGAAGAAACCUGUUUACGAGUAGACAGUUGCCGGUAAGGUAUGAAUAAGCAUCGGCUAACUCCGUGCCAGCAGCCGCGGUAACAC